CAGCCGCCGCGGGAAUACGGAGGGUGCAAGCGUUAUUCGGAAUUAUUGGGCGUAAAGGGCUCGCAGGCGGCUUCUUAAGUCUGAUGUGAAAGCCCCCGGCUCAACCGGGGAGGGUCAUUGGAAACUGGGAAACUUGAGUGCAGAAGAGGAGAGUGGAAUUCCACGUGUAGCGGUGAAAUGCGUAGAGAUGUGGAGGAACACCAGUGGCGAAGGCGACUCUCUGGUCUGUAACUGACGCUGAGGAGCGAAAGCGUGGGGAGCGAACAGGAUUAGAUACCCCAGUAGUCCCUGUCUCUUAUAC
rnacentral:rRNA from 1 species